ACAGGAUACAUGUUUCUGCGCGGGAGAGAAGCUGAGACUACCGACGAUUCGUCGAUAGCUUUGCAAGAAACUGUCCGUCUACUAUACCACUGACGAAGUACUGUUACGUCAGUGCUGGUAUCAUGGUAAAAUGCCGUAUCUGUUGUAUUUUCACGAGAUCAGAACUGUCUGUUGCUUAUCCAUCUCUGCGGCACUGAACAUCAAACGCAACGAAAAGAAAACAAAUCUUCGUCUAUCAGAUUUGGAAAGCAAGCGAUAUAAUGACAAUAAGAAAUGGUUUAAUCUAUAUAUGAAAUUUUUUAUCGCGUUAUUUAAUUUAAUGGCCAUAAAUUGGAUCGUGUAUGCAAUAUCAUGGAUACUUAAUUUUCCACAAAAAAUACUCUAGUUAUUUUAUUUAUUUUUGUUUACUGUGCAGAAUUUCUGCGCUUUUAUCGUAUUUGUAUGGAAAAAGAAGAUUAAGUUGAUGAUAUUAAAACGAUUCAGAAUGCGGGAUGAAUGAAUCGUGGACUUGACUACCAUGACAAAGCUGCAGUAAAGGUCGAAUUCUUGCAGAGAAGAAAAUUGUCACGCAAAAGUUUGUUCGAUGGGAUUAAAUUCUAAUAAUGCAGUUAUGUUAAAAAAAAGUUUUAUCGCAAAUUAUGCACCAACGAACAAUCAGCAAUUUAAUAUAAUUAUAUUAAAACAGAAAUAACUUUACCGUUUCAUAUUUUGAUGUUAACGAUUCUUUAAAAGAUUUAGUUUAAAAUCUUAUAUAGAAAAUCUAUCUUACUUUACAUAUUAUUGAAUCAAAUCAAUGAUUGCAAUACUGUUAAAAAUACGUAGAAGUGCAAACUAGAUUUGCGUAAAAUUACACAGUUUCCAUCUUAAUGAACAUAUUAUGUUGUAUAAAUCGCAGUUAAAGAAUGAUGCAUCAAAUAUUUUUCCUGAUAUCCGUACUUCAAUAAUUAUUAUCUGAGAUAGAUUCUUUGAUUACAUCAUACAUUUACAUGAAUAUAAAUAUAUAAUGUAGGUAAAAAUCUCUUCAUUAU